rnacentral:rRNA from 1 species
UGGGGAAUAUUGGACAAUGGGCGCAAGCCUGAUCCAGCCAUGCCGCGUGUGUGAAGAAGGCCUUCGGGUUGUAAAGCACUUUCAGUGGUGAGGAAGGCGUUGUAGUUAAUAGCUGCAACGAUUGACGUUAGCCACAGAAGAAGCACCGGCUAACUCCGUGCCAGCAGCCGCGGUAAUACGGAGGGUGCGAGCGUUAAUCGGAAUUACUGGGCGUAAAGCGCACGUAGGCGGCUUGUUAAGCAAGAUGUGAAAGCCCAGGGCUCAACCUUGGAAUUGCAUUUUGAACUGGCAGGCUAGAGUUUUGAAGAGGGUGGUAGAAUUUCCAGUGUAGCGGUGAAAUGCGUAGAUAUUGGAAGGAAUACCAGUGGCGAAGGCGGCCACCUGGUCAAAAACUGACGCUGAGGAGCGAAAGCGUGGGGAGCAAACA